rnacentral:tRNA from 1 species
GGUCCCAUCGUCUAGCGGUUAGGACAUCGGCCUCUCACGUCGGUAACACGGGUUCAAUUCCCGUUGGGAUCA